UACGGAAGGGGCAAGCGUUGUUCGGAAUCAUUGGGCGUAAAGGGCGCGUAGGUGGCUCUGUGUGUCUACCGUGAAAGCGUACGGCUCAACCGUAUUUUGUCGGUAGAAACUGCAGGACUUGAGGCUGGGAGGGGCUGGUGGAAUUCCCUGUGUAGCGGUGAAAUGCGUAGAGAUGGGGGAGAACACUCGUGGCGAAGGCGGCCAGCUAGACCAGUUCUGACACUGAGGCGCGAUAGCGUGGGGAGCAAACGGG
rnacentral:rRNA from 1 species